ACUCCUACGGGAGGCAGCAGUGGGGAAUAUUGCACAAUGGGGGAAACCCUGAUGCAGCCAUGCCGCGUGUGUGAAGAAGGCCUUGGUUGUAAAGCACUUUCAGUAGGAGGAAGGUAGUGUAGUUAACACCUGCCAUUAUUUGUACGUUACCUACAGAAGAAGCACCGGCUAACUCCGUGCCAGCAGCCGCGGUAAUACGGAGGGUGCGAGCGUUAAUCGGAAUUACUGGGCGUAAAGCGCAUGCAGGCGGCCUGUUAAGUCAGAUGUGAAAGCCCGGGGCUUAACCUCGGAAUUGCAUUUGAAACUGGCAGGCUAGAGUCUUGUAAGAGGGGUUAGAAUUUCAGGUGUAGCGGUGAAAUGCGUAGAGAUCUGAA
rnacentral:rRNA from 1 species